rnacentral:rRNA from 1 species
UACGUAGGUGGCAAGCGUUGUUCGGAUUUACUGGGCGUAAAGGGCGCGUAGGCGGCCUGGCAAGUGGAAGGUGAAAUCCCUCGGCUUAACCGAGGAACUGCCUCCCAAACUGCUUGGCUUGAGACCGGGAGAGGUGAGUGGAAUUCCCAGUGUAGCGGUGAAAUGCGUAGAUAUUGGGAGGAACACCAGUGGCGAAGGCGGCUCACUGGACCGGUACUGACGCUGAUGCGCGAAAGCGUGGGGAGCAAACGGG